UGUGGAAUUUUGGACAAUGGGCGCAAGCCUGAUCCAGCCAUGCCGCGUGCAGGAUGAAGGCCUUCGGGUUGUAAACUGCUUUUGUACGGAACGAAAAGGUGCCUUCUAAUAAAGGGCGCUCAUGACGGUACCGUAAGAAUAAGCACCGGCUAACUACGUGCCAGCAGCCGCGGUAAUACGUAGGGUGCGAGCGUUAAUCGGAAUUACUGGGCGUAAAGCGUGCGCAGGCGGUUUUGUAAGACAGAGGUGAAAUCCCCGGGCUCAACCUGGGAACUGCCUUUGUGACUGCAAGGCUGGAGUGCGGCAGAGGGGGAUGGAAUUCCGCGUGUGGCAGUGAAAUGCGUAGAUAUGCGGAGGAACACCGAUGGCGAAGGCAAUCCCCUGGGCCUGCACUGACGCUCAUGCACGAAAGCGUGGGGAGCAAACA
rnacentral:rRNA from 1 species